rnacentral:rRNA from 1 species
AUCGAACGCUGGCGGCAGGCUUAACACAUGCAAGUCGAACGAGUGGCGGACGGGUGAGUAAUGCUUGGGAAUCUGGCUUAUGGAGGGGGAUAACUACGGGAAACUGUAGCUAAUACCGCGUACCAUAGGAUGAGCCCAAGUGGGUUUAGGUAGUGGGUGAGGUAAAGGCUCACCAAGCCGACGAUCUCUAGCUGGUCUGGGAGGAUGACGGGCCACCCUGGGACGGGGACACGGCCCAGACCCCUACGGGAGGCGGCAGUGGGGAAUAUUGGGCAAGGGGGGAAACCUGACGCAGCCCUGCCGCGUGAAUGAAGAAGGCCUUCGGGUUGUAAAGUUCUUUCGGUAGCGAGGCGUUAACUACAGAAGAAGCACCGGCUAACUCCGUGCCAGCAGCCGCGGUAAUAC